GUCUCCUUUCUUUCACUGGAAAAUUGCUUUUGCCCUGUCUUUGGCGUAUUCAUAUGAGUUUGGCCUUUGCUGGAGGCGGAGGUGUGUGCGCAAGCGUUAUCGUGUUUUGUGAAGUGAUUCUUUGCUCCGGUAAGUAAUGUGAAAACUAGUGAUUGUGAUAAGUGAAUUAAUUCUAUUCCUUGUGUUUUGUGCGUAGUGAAUCCCAUCGAGUCGAUCAGCUGAUGGAAAGAGUUUGGCCGUGAAGCGGAAAGGGUGAAGCCGGAGUUAAACCGCAGGAUGACAGGACAAAUCACAUCGAGAGAGAGUGCUGAAUACUCGCCGUCUUGAGAGAAACCUCUGCCGAACAUAGGAACCCCAUCCCACCGUCCGCUUCGCAGAACGCCGGCAGUUUUUUUUACCUGUUCGUCGCAUGAUGAGCGUAUGUGCAAUAAAAAAAGGGAUCGUAUGUAUUUCCUGGUAAUUAUUUCGUUGACGGUCGUGGUGUGUUCGGGACGAGGGUGUCCCGAAUGCAGCAAUAGGAAAGAAAGGGAAAGCGAGAAAGAACAAAAAAGCGAAGGAAAGAACGGGACACACUGAAGCUUAUUAGGCUACCAACGCUUAUUAUAAAUAAGCCUGCAAGCUUGCAGGCUAUAUACAACCCACUUGGCAGAAAUCGCAUGAGAGGGGGGAAAUUUCUUCAUUCUCGCUACCCCUGACCCUCACUUUCGAGCGAUCGUACGACAAACUCUCACUCCACCACCCUACCUCGCUCACACACGCUCCUAUAUUCUAUGUAAACCCUCACCGCAACCUGCGUCACCAACCCACCCCACACCUGAACGGUCCCAUACUCGAAGUGUUAGACAAUUUUGGUUCCACACUUUGAAGCCUGUCGAGGAGUGUGGCACUAUAUUGUUUUUCGCUGUCUCCUUUCUUUCACUGCAAAAUUGCUUUUGCCCUGUCUUUGGCGUAUUCAUAUGAGUUUGGCCUUUGCUGGAGGCGGAGGUGUGUGCGCAAGCGUUAUCGUGUUUUGUGAAGUGAUUCUUUGCUCCGGUAAGUAAUGUGAAAACUAGUGAUUGUGAUAAGUGAAUUAAUUCUAUUCCUUGUGUUUUGUGCGUAGUGAAUCCCAUCGAGUCGAUCAGCUGAUGGAAAGAGUUUGGCCGUGAAGCGGAAAGGGUGAAGCCGGAGUUAAACCGCAGGAUGGCAGGACAAAUCACAUCGAGAGAGAGUGCUGAAUACUCGCCGUCUUGAGAGAAACCUCUGCCGAACAUAGGAACCCCAUCCCACCGUCCGCUUCGCAGAACGCCGGCAGUUUUUUUUUACCUGUUCGUCGCAUGAUGAGCGUAUGUGCAAUAAAAAAGGGAUCGUAUGUAUUUCCUGGUAAUUAUUUCGUUCACGGUCGUGGUGUGUUCGGGACGAGGGUGUCCCGAAUGCAGCAAUAGGAAAGAAAGGGAAAGCGAGAAAGAAAAAAAGCGAAGGAAAGAACGGGACAAAAUAAAGCUAAUUUUUUGGCUUCCCGGCUUAUUAUAAAUAAGCUUGGGAGCUUCCAUGCUUGCAAGCUUGCAUGCUCGUAUGCAAGCGUACAUACACCCCGC